rnacentral:rRNA from 1 species
CCCUUAGAUGUUCUGGGCAGCACGCGCCCUACAAUGGUCUUCGCAAACGGAUGCAUUCUCGAAGGAGAAUGCCAAUCUUGGAAUCUAUGCCUUGGUCGGGACAGUUGCUUGCAAUUUUUCGACUCGAACCAGGAAUUCCUUGUAAUCGUGAUUCAUCACAUCACGAUGAAUACGUCCCUGCCCUUUGUACACACCGCCCGUCGCUCCUACCGAUCGAAGAGUUAGGUGAAUUGUUUUGAUCGAUAAGAUUUGACUAUGGUCAACUCUCGUUGUGAAAUUCUGUGAAUCUGACUGUUUAGAGGAAGGAAAAGUCGUAAC